AGAAUGCAAGCGUUAUCCGGGAUCAUUGGGUUUAAAGGGUGCGCAGGCGGAAUUGGUAAGUCAGGGGUGAAAUCCCACAGCUCAACUGUGGAACUGCCUUUGAUACUGUCAGUCUAGAGUAUAGUUGAAGUUGGCGGAAUGUGUCAUGUAGCGGUGAAAUGCUUAGAUAUGACACAGAACACCGAUCGCGAAGGCAGCUAGCUAAGCUAUAACUGACGCUCAUGCACGAAAGCGUGGGGAUCAAACAGGAUUAGAUACCCUGGUAGUCCACGCUGUAAACGAUGAUUACUCGAUGUUGGCGAUACACAGUCAGCGUCUGAGCGAAAGCAAUAAGUAAUCCACCUGGGGAGUACGAUCGCAAGAUUGAAACUCAAAGGAAUUGACGGGGGCCCGCACAAGCGGAGGAGCAUGUGGUUUAAUUCGAUGAUACGCGAGGAACCUUACCUGGGCUCGAACGUAAGAUGACUGUAGGUGAAAGCUUACAUCUCUUCGGAGCAUUUUACGAGGUGCUGCAUGGUUGUCGUCAGCUCGUGCCGUGAGGUGUCGGGUUAAGUCCCAUAACGAGCGCAACCCCUACCUUUAGUUGCCAUCAGGUCAUGCUGGGGACUCUAAAGGAACUGCCUACGCAAGUAGGAGGAAGGCGGGGAUGACGUCAAAUCAGCACGGCCCUUACGUCCAGGGCUACACACGUGCUACAAUGGCCGAUACAGAGGGCAGCUACCUGGUGACAGGAUGCAAAUCUCCAAAGUCGGUCUCAGUUCGGAUCGGAGUCUGCAACCCGACUCCGUGAAGUUGGAUUCGCUAGUAAUCGCGCAUCAGCCAUGGCGCGGUGAAUACGUUCCCGGGCCUUGUACACACCGCCCGUCAAGCCAUGGAAGCUGGGGGGACCUAAAGUCGAUAACCGCAAGGAGUCGCCUAGGGUAAAACCAGUGACUGGGGCUAAGUCGUAACAAGGUAACC
rnacentral:rRNA from 1 species